GUGCUUGCUACAGUAGCACAUAUACUUAAAUGAGAACGAUACAGAAAAUAUUAUAUGGUACCUGUACUGGGAUGACAUGCAGAUUCAUGAAGUGUUCCAUGUUUUA